GAAAACGGUGGAGCCCAAAAAGCUGUAUAUAAGAGAGUGGAACGUAUUUGGAAAAUGCGACCGUAGGGGGUGAUAGUCCCGUACACGAAGGGUAUAUACAGGGGAUACAUGAGUAAGGCGGAACCGGAGAAAUUCUGUCUGAAUAUGCCAGCACCAUCUGGUAAGGCUAAAUACUACUGAUAGACCGAUAGCGAACCAGUACUGUAAAGGAAAGGUGAAAAGAACCCUAAGAAAGGGAGUGAAAAGAACCUGAAACCAUGCGCUUACAAGCGGUCGGAGCCUUUAGGGGUGACGGCGUGCCUUUUGCAUAAUGAGCCUACGAGUUACUCCUCACUAGCGAGUUUAAGUACUUCAGGUACGGAGGCGUAGCGAAAGCGAGUCUGAAUAGGGCGACAAGCUAGUGGGGGUAGACGCGAAACCUGGUGAUCUACCCAUGAGCAGGUUGAAGGUUGGAUAGUAUCCAAUUGGAGGACCGAACUGGUAAACGUUGAAAAGUUUUCGGAUGACUUGUGGGUAGGGGUGAAAGGCCAAUC
rnacentral:rRNA from 1 species